rnacentral:rRNA from 1 species
GACGAACGCUGGCGGCGUGCUUAACACAUGCAAGUCGAACGGAAAGGCCCUGCUUUUGUGGGGUACUCGAGUGGCGAACGGGUGAGUAACACGUGAGUAACCUGCCCUUGACUUUGGGAUAACUUCAGGAAACUGGGGCUAAUACCGGAUAGGAGCUCCUGCUGCAUGGUGGGGGUUGGAAAGUUUCGGCGGUUGGGGAUGGACUCGCGGCUUAUCAGCUUGUUGGUGGGGUAGUGGCUUACCAAGGCUUUGACGGGUAGCCGGCCUGGGAGGGUGACCGGGCACAUUGGGACUGAGAUACGGACCAGACUCCUACGGGAGGCAGCAGUGGGGAAUAUGGCACAAUGGGCGGAAGCCUGAGGCAGCAACGCCGCGUGCGGGAUGACGGCCUUCGGGUUGUAAACCGCUUUCGCAUGUGACGAAGCGUGAGUGACGGUAAUGGGUAAAGAAGCACCGGCUAACUACGUG